UUUCUUACAUUUGUUCUUAAGUUGACGGAAUUGAGUUGUCUAAUGUUCUAUAUUGAUCUGGGGCCAUAUUCGCCAAAAAUCUGAAGGCUAAAAGUUGCUCCUAAUGCAUAAAUUUAAAAACAUGAGGC